rnacentral:rRNA from 1 species
AUUGAACGCUGGCGGAAUGCUUUACACAUGCAAGUCGAACGGCAGCACGGACUUCGGUCUGGUGGCGAGUGGCGAACGGGUGAGUAAUGUAUCGGAACGUGCCCAGUCGUGGGGGAUAACGUAGUGAAAAUUACGCUAAUACCGCAUACGAUCUAUGGAUGAAAGCGGGGGAUCGCAAGACAUCGCGCGAUUGGAGCGGCCGAUAUCAGAUUAGGUAGUUGGUGGGGUAAAGGACCACCAAGCCAACGAACUGUAGCUGGUCGAAGAGGACGACCAGCCACACUGGAACUGAGACACGGUCCAGACUCCGACGGGAGGCAGCAGUGGGGAAUUUUGGACAAUGGGCGAAAGACUGAUCCAGACAUUCCGCGUGCAGGAUGAAGGCCCUCGGGUUGUAAACUGCUUUUGUACAGAACGAAAAGGUUUCUACUAAUACUAGGAGCUCAUGACGGUACUGUAAGAAUAAGCACCGGCUAACUACGUGCCAGCAGCCGCCGUAA